rnacentral:rRNA from 1 species
GAUGAACGCUGGCGGCGUGCCUAAUACAUGCAAGUCGAGCGAACAGAUAAGGAGCUUGCUCCUUUGACGUUAGCGGCGGACGGGUGAGUAACACGUGGGUAACCUACCUAUAAGACUGGAAUAACUCCGGGAAACCGGGGCUAAUGCCGGAUAACAUUUAGAACCGCAUGGUUCUAAAGUGAAAGAUGGUUUUGCUAUCACUUAUAGAUGGACCCGCGCCGUAUUAGCUAGUUGGUAAGGUAACGGCUUACCAAGGCAACGAUACGUAGCCGACCUGAGAGGGUGAUCAGCCACACUGGAACUGAGACACGGUCCAGACUCCUACGGGAGGCAGCAGUAGGGAAUCUUCCACAAUGGGCGAAAGCCUGACGGAGCAACGCCGCGUGAGUGAUGAAGGUCUUCGGAUCGUAAAACUCUGUUAUUAGGGAAGAACAAAUGUGUAAGUAACUGUGCACGUCUUGACGGUACCUAAUCAGAAAGCCACGGCUAACUACGUG